ensembl:snRNA U2 U2 spliceosomal RNA
AUGGACUCUCAGCCUUUGGGCUAAGACUAAGCACAGUAUCUAUUUUUAUCCAUUCACUAUCUGAUACAUCCCCUACCCAAGGUCAAUGCAUUCAGUAGAUUUUUGGAACAGAGAGUUGGAAUACAGAUUUGCUCCAUCCACCCCAUGCAUUGACCUCGUACUGCAAUACUUCCAGGAAUAGGGCACCAGAG